UACGUAGGGUGCGAGCGUUGUCCGGAAUUAUUGGGCGUAAAGAGCUCGUAGGCGGUUUGUUGCGUCUAUCGUGAAAACCUGCGGCUUAACUGUGGGCUUGCGGUGGAUACGGGCAGACUUGAGUUCGGUAGGGGAGACUGGAAUUCCUGGUGUAGCGGUGAAAUGCGCAGAUAUUAGGAGGAACACCGGUGGCGAAGGCGCCGCUCUGGGCCGAAACUGACGCUGAGGAGCGAAAGCAUGGGUAGCAAACAGG
rnacentral:rRNA from 1 species